rnacentral:miRNA from 1 species
UUCUCCUGUGGAUCCAGACGGAGCUGGGCCCUGCCAACACCUUGAUUUUGGACUUCCAGCCUCCAGAACGGUGAGAAAACAAAUUCUUGUUGUUUUAAGCCACCCAGUGUGUGGUGCUUUGGUAUGGCAGCCCUAGGGA